GAACGCUGGCGGCGUGCCUAAACACAUGCAAAAGUCGAAACGAUUAAAAGCACCUUCGGGUGUGUAAUAGAGUGGCGAACGGGUGAGUAACACGUGACCAACCUGCCUCUUACAUUGGGACAACCAAAAGAAAUUCUGGCUAAUACCAAAAUACUCCGCACAUAUCACAUGAUGUAUGCGGGAAAAGCUUUUGCGGUAAGAGAUGGGGGUCGCGGCCCAUUUAGGUAGACGGCGGGGUAGAAGCCCCACCCGUGCCCGAUGAUGGGUAGCCGGGUUGAGAGACCGACCGGCCAGAUUGGGACUGAGACACGGCCCAGACUCCUACGGGAGGCAGCAGUGGGGAAUCUUGCACAAUGGGCGAAAGCCUGAUGCAGCGACGCCGCGUGCGGGAUGAAGGCCUUCGGGUUGUAAACCGCUUUCAGCAGGGGACGAGGCCGCAAGGUGACGGUACCUGCAGAAGAAGCCCCGGCUAACUACGUGCCAGCAGCCGCGGUAAU
rnacentral:rRNA from 1 species